rnacentral:rRNA from 1 species
GGCGAACGGGUGAGUAACACGUGAGUAACCUGCCCUUGACUUUGGGAUAACUUCAGGAAGCUGGGGCUAAUACCGGAUAGGAGCUCCUGCUGCAUGGUGGGGGUUGGAAAGUUUCGGCGGUUGGGGAUGGACUCGCGGCUUAUCAGCUUGUUGGUGGGGUAGUGGCUUACCAAGGCUUUGACGGGUAGCCGGCCUGAGAGGGUGACCGGCCACAUUGGGACUGAGAUACGGCCCAG